rnacentral:lncRNA from 1 species
GUGAAAAUGUGGUGCGAGCUUCAUUUUCUUUCAAAAGUUCCGAACUGCAAUCAAGAGUAAUUUACAUAAAAGACAGCAGUUAUUUUUGAAAAUUACUUCCUAAGAAGAGACCCUAUAGAAGAAACCCCCAAUGUUCAUAGUCCCUUAUCUGGAGUAAGAUUUUCCAGUGGAUUAUCAAGGACAUAAGGUUUUCCUUGUAUGCAGAAGUUAUGGUGAGAAAUCAAGUAUGCAGAAGCAUCUAUCAUUACCUGCUCGGUAGAUCUGCAGAUGACAGGUAACUUGUCAACAUACACUUUCCUUUCCUUCCGCUGUAGCCGCCUGGCAGCUUCUGUACACACUUUAUUGUGCAGGUGCUUUAUUUUGGCAGACAUGUUCAGAUAAUAGAGCAAUCCAAUCAAAACAUCAGUGAGACUCCCUGACAGAACAUU